rnacentral:tRNA from 1 species
GAUCCAUUAGCUCAGCUGGGAGAGCGUCUGGGUGACAACCAGAAGGUCACUGGUUCAAGUCCAGUAUGGGUCA